GAUUCAACUCUUGGCCGAGAAGAAGAGGAACAGGAAGAUCGAAUGAUAAGUGUAGAGUACACGAGCGGCGGACGGGUGAGUAACACGUGGGAAUCUACCCCAAACUGAGGGAUAAGCAUCGGAAACGGUGUCUAAUACCGCAUAUGGUCUUCGGAUUAAAGCUUCGGCGUUUGGGAAGAGCCCGCGUAAGAUUAGCUAGUUGGUGAGGUAAUGGGCCCACCAAGGCGACGAUCUUUAGCUGGUUUUGAGAGGAUGAUCAGCCACACUGGAACUGAGACACGGUCCAGACUCCUACGGGAGGCAGCAGUUAGGAAUUUUCCACAAUGGGGGCAACCCUGAUGGAGCAACGCCGCGUGCAGGAUGAAGGUUUUCGGAUUGUAAACUGCUUUUGUACGUGAAGAAUGUGACGGUAGCGUACGAAUAAGGAUCGGCUAACUCCGUG
rnacentral:rRNA from 1 species